rnacentral:rRNA from 1 species
CUAAUACAUGCAAGUCGAGCGCGGGAAGCCGGACAGAUCCCUUCGGGGUGACGACCGGUGGAACGAGCGGCGGAUGGGUGAGUAACACGUGGGCAACCUGCCUGUAAGCCUGGGAUAACUCGCGGAAACGCGAGCUAAUACCGGAUGCGCCUUUUGUUCGCAUGAACGAAAGGUAAAAGGCGGCUUUUGCUGUCACUUACAGAUGGGCCCGCGGCGCAUUAGCUAGUUGGUGAGGUAACGGCUCACCAAAGCGACGAUGCGUAGCCGACCUGAGAGGGUGAUCGGCCACACUGGGACUGAGACACGGCCCAGACUCCUACGGGAGGCAGCAGUAGGGAAUCUUCCGCAAUGGACGAAAGUCUGACGGAGCGACGCCGCGUGAGUGAUGAAGGUCUUCGGAUCGUAAAGCUCUGUUGUUAGGGAAGAACAAGUACCGGAGUAACUGCCGGUACCUUGACGGUACCUAACCAGAAAGCCCCGGCUAACUACGUGCCAGCAGCCGCGGUAAUACGUAGGGGGCGAGCGUUGUCCGGAAUUAUUGGGCGUAAAGGGCGCGUAGGCGGUCUCUUAAGUCUGAUGUGAAAGCCCCCGGCUUAACCGGGGAGGGUCAUUGGAAACUGGGGGACUUGAGUGCAGGAGAGGGAAGCGGAAUUCCAUGUGUAGCGGUGAAAUGCGUAGAGAUAUGGAGGAACACCAGUGGCGAAGGCGG